CCGGAUUAAUACCGCAUACGCUCUACGGAGGAAAGGGGGGGAUCUUAGGACCUCUCGCUACAGGGGCGGCCGAUGGCAGAUUAGCUAGUUGGUGGGGUAAAGGCCUACCAAGGCGACGAUCUGUAGCUGGUCUGAGAGGACGACCAGCCACACUGGGACUGAGACACGGCCCAGACUCCUACGGGAGGCAGCAGUGGGGAAUUUUGGACAAUGGGGGCAACCCUGAUCCAGCAAUGCCGCGUGUGUGAAGAAGGCCUUCGGGUUGUAAAGCACUUUUGUCCGGAAAGAAAACCUUUGCCCUAAUACGGCGGGGGGAUGACGGUACCGGAAGAAUAAGCACCGGCUAACUACGUGCCAGCAGCCGCGGUAAUACGUAGGGUGCAAGCGUUAAUCGGAAUUACUGGGCGUAAAGCGUGCGCAGGCGGUUCGCUAAGACAGAUGUGAAAUCCCCGGGCUUAACCUGGGAACUGCAUUUGUGACUGGCGGGCUAGAGUAUGGCAGAGGGGGGUAGAAUUCCACGUGUAGCAGUGAAAUGCGUAGAGAUGUGGAGGAAUACCGAUGGCGAAGGCAGCCCCCUGGGCCAAUACUGACGCUCAUGCACGA
rnacentral:rRNA from 1 species